GGGGGAAUCUUGCACAAUGGGGGAAACCCUGAUGCAGCGACGCCGCGUGAGCGAUGAAGCCCUUCGGGGUGUAAAGCUCUUUCGACAGGAACGAUAAUGACGGUACCUGGAGAAGAAGCUGCGGCUAACUACGUGCCAGCAGCCGCGGUAAUACGUAGGCAGCAAGCGUUGUUCGGAGUUACUGGGCGUAAAGAGUGUGUAGGCGGUUUGCCAAGUCUAGUGUGAAAUCUCCCGGCUUAACUGGGAGGGU
rnacentral:rRNA from 1 species